rnacentral:pre_miRNA from 9 species
UCUCGAUAGCGUAAAAGUUAACUCAUAUUUGUAUGGAGUGGGAUCGUUUGCCUACGUUUGCCGCUAGGGGCGCUGUUCCAACUGCAUACAAAAUUGGACUAACUUUUACGCUAUCGA